UCCCCUUUAGCCUCCUUUGUUUUUAAAUCAUUGAUUUCUGUUCUGGUUUGUUUUGAUUUGUAGUAAACGUUACAUCUGCAUGGACAGUUACUCUAUACCAUCAGCUGGAGGUCAGAUACAUCGAGAAUCUUUCUAAAAUCCUAUAUGUACCUGUUCUGCUGGUGAAGGUAGGAAAUGGAAAAAUCAUAAAUGCAUCUGAUGAGGAUGGGACCCACCUGUAUCUAUCUAUACCUCUUUGGCACAGUUUUGGAAUGAAGUAGACGAUCAGGAGAGAGCAGCCAUCAGUAAGUGUCGUAUGAAAAUUAUGGA
rnacentral:lncRNA from 1 species